UACGAAGGGGGCUAGCGUUGCUCGGAAUUACUGGGCGUAAAGCGCACGUAGGCGGCUUCUUAAGUCGGUGGUGAAAUCCUGGAGCUCAACUCCAGAACUGCCUUCGAUACUGGGAAGCUCGAGUCCGGGAGAGGUGAGUGGAACUGCGAGUGUAGAGGUGAAAUUCGUAGAUAUUCGCAAGAACACCAGUGGCGAAGGCGGCUCACUGGGCCGGAACUGACGCUGAGGUGCGAAAGCGUGGGGAGCAAACAGG
rnacentral:rRNA from 1 species